GAGUUUGAUCAUGGCUCAGAUUGAACGCUGGCGGCAUGCCUUACACAUGCAAGUCGAACGGCAGCAUGAUCUAGCUUGCUAGAUUGAUGGCGAGUGGCGAACGGGUGAGUAAUACAUCGGAACGUGCCCUGUAGUGGGGGAUAACUAGAUCGAAAGAUUAGCUAAUACCGCAUACGACCUGAGGGUGAAAGUGGGGGACCGCAAGGCCUCAUGCUAUAGGAGCGGCCGAUGUCUGAUUAGCUAGUUGGUGGGGUAAAGGCCCACCAAGGCGACGAUCAGUAGCUGGUCUGAGAGGACGAUCAGCCACACUGGGACUGAGACACGGCCCAGACUCCUACGGGAGGCAGCAGUGGGGAAUUUUGGACAAUGGGGGCAACCCUGAUCCAGCAAUGCCGCGUGUGUGAAGAAGGCCUUCGGGUUGUAAAGCACUUUUGUCCGAAAAGAAAUCGCACUUACUAAUAUUAGGUGUGGAUGACGGUACCGGAAGAAUAAGGACCGGCUAACUACGUGCCAGCAGCCGCGGUAAUACGUAGGGUCCAAGCGUUAAUCGGAAUUACUGGGCGUAAAGCGUGCGCAGGCGGUUGUGCAAGACCGAUGUGAAAUCCCCGGGCUUAACCUGGGAAUUGCAUUGGUGACUGCACGGCUAGAGUGUGUCAGAGGGGGAUAGAAUUCCACGUGUAGCAGUGAAAUGCGUAGAGAUGUGGAGGAAUACCGAUGGCGAAGGCAGCCCCCUGGGAUAACACUGACGCUCAUGCACGAAAGCGUGGGGAGCAAACAGGAUUAGAUACCCUGGUAGUCCACGCCCUAAACGAUGUCAACUAGUUGUUGGGGAUUCAUUUCCUUAGUAACGUAGCUAACGCGUGAAGUUGACCGCCUGGGGAGUACGGUCGCAAGAUUAAAACUCAAAGGAAUUGACGGGGACCCGCACAAGCGGUGGAUGAUGUGGAUUAAUUCGAUGCAACGCGAAAAACCUUACCUACCCUUGACAUGCCACUAACGAAGCAGAGAUGCAUUAGGUGCUCGAAAGAGAAAGUGGACACAGGUGCUGCAUGGCUGUCGUCAGCUCGUGUCGUGAGAUGUUGGGUUAAGUCCCGCAACGAGCGCAACCCUUGUCUCUAGUUGCUACGAAAGGGCACUCUAGAGAGACUGCCGGUGACAAACCGGAGGAAGGUGGGGAUGACGUCAAGUCCUCAUGGCCCUUAUGGGUAGGGCUUCACACGUCAUACAAUGGUGCAUACAGAGGGUUGCCAAGCCGCGAGGUGGAGCUAAUCCCAGAAAAUGCAUCGUAGUCCGGAUCGUAGUCUGCAACUCGACUACGUGAAGCUGGAAUCGCUAGUAAUCGCGGAUCAGCAUGCCGCGGUGAAUACGU
rnacentral:rRNA from 1 species